GUUCACUUGAGCAUCACAUAUACUAAAAUCAGAAUGAUGCAGGGAAGAUUAGCAUGGUCCCUGUGCAAGGAUGCUGUGUAAAUUCAUGCAGUGUUCAGCAUUUGG